AUUGAACGCUGGCGGCAUGCCUAACACAUGCAAGUCGAGCGGAUGAAGGGAGCUUGCUCCUGGAUUCAGCGGCGGACGGGUGAGUAAUGCCUAGGAAUCUGCCUGGUAGUGGGGGAUAACGUCCGGAAACGGGCGCUAAUACCGCAUACGUCCUGAUGGAGAAAGUGGGGGAUCUUCCGACCUCACGCUAUCAGAUGAGCCUAGGUCGGAUUAGCUAGUUGGUGGGGUAAAGGCCUACCAAGGCGACUAUCCGUAACUGGUCUGAGAGGAUGAUCAGUCACCCGGUCACUGAGACACGGCACAGACACCUAGGGGAGGAAGCGGUGGGGAAUCUUAGGCGAUGGGGGAAAGCCUGAUACAGCCCUGCCGGGGGUAUGAAGAAGGUCUUCGGAUUGUAAAGCACUUUAAGUCGGGAGGAAGGGCAGUAAGUUAACACCUUGCUGUUUUGACGUUACCAACAGAAUAAGCACCGGCUAACUCCGUG
rnacentral:rRNA from 1 species